AUUAAUAGUCUUUUCAACCAAAAAUAUCCAACAAAAAUAUCACUGAAGAUUGAACUAACCAUAAUUUGAAAUAAGGCAAAUGUGACCCAAAUCAACUACAUAACAGCUUAAAAAAAACCUUCCA